GAUCGUGGCAGAGGAGAGAUGUAGCAGCGCUGCUCGGUGGGACUCUGUGGCCAGCCGUCUGUCACUUCUUUUAAAACCAGAAAUUGUUUUUGUCGGACAUUACCGUGAAUGGGAAAGAUUGAAUGCAUCUUAUAGCACAGUGGCGCCGUGUGAAUGUGUCGCGUAAUGCGACCGAGAAGGAUUGCCUCUCGGGGGAAAUAUUUAUGUUUCGGGACGGUUUUGUUGGAGUAGCUAGUUGCUAGCGCUGGGCUAGCGACUGUGCUGGGUACUUGGAACGUAUUCUGCAAGGAUGCUUCGGUGGAUACGACAGCAGCUGGGCUUUGACCCCCCUCAUCAGAGUGAUACCAGGACAGUGUACGUAGCUAACCGUUUCCCCCAGAAUGGCCACUACAUACCACAACGCUUUGCCGACAACAGAAUCAUCUCAUCCAAGUAUACAGUUUGGAAUUUUGUCCCCAAGAAUCUGUUUGAGCAGUUCAGAAGGAUAGCAAACUUCUACUUCCUCAUUAUCUUCCUUGUACAGUUAAUGAUAGAUACGCCAACUUCCCCAGUAACCAGCGGCCUGCCUCUGUUCUUUGUGAUCACAGUAACUGCCAUAAAACAGGGCUACGAGGAUUGGCUGAGACACAAGGCUGACAAUGAGGUGAAUGGGGCUCCAGUGUUUGUGGUUCGCAGUGGAAGUCUGGUCCAGACGAGAUCCAAGAAUAUCAGGGUGGGAGACAUCGUCCGUGUGGCUAAAGAUGAAACGUUCCCAGCAGACCUGGUGUUACUGUCGUCAGAUCGUCCAGAUGGCACCUGUCACAUCACCACAGCCAGUCUUGACGGAGAGACCAAUCUCAAGACCCAUUACUCUGUGGCUGAGACAUCAGUGUGCCAGUCAGUCUCCCAGCUGGAGGCAUUGCAGGCUGUGGUGGAGUGUCAGCAACCAGAAGCUGACCUGUACAGAUUUGUUGGUCGUAUGACGGUGACUCAGCAUGGGGAGGAGAUAGUUAGACCGCUGGGUCCAGAGAAUUUGCUGCUGCGAGGGGCCAGGUUGAAAAAUACUAAAGAAAUAUUUGGUGUGGCUGUUUAUACAGGCAUGGAGUCCAAGAUGGCACUCAACUAUAAAUGCAAGUCCCAGAAACGCUCUGCCGUAGAGAAGUCCAUGAAUACCUUCCUCAUCAUCUACCUGAUCAUUUUGCUGUCCGAGGCCAUUCUCAGCACCAUCCUAAAGUACGCCUGGCAGGCUGAGAUCAAAUGGAACGAACCUUUCUACAACCAAAAGACAGAAGUGGAGAGAAACAGCAGUCCGAUCUUAAAGUUCAUCUCAGACUUUUUGGCUUUUCUGGUCCUCUAUAACUUCAUCAUCCCUAUCUCGCUCUACGUUACUGUGGAGAUGCAAAAGUUCCUAGGCUCUUUUUUCAUUGGCUGGGAUUUGGACCUUUACCAUGAGGAAAGUGACCAGAAAGCUCAGGUCAAUACCUCUGACCUCAAUGAAGAGUUGGGACAGGUGGAAUAUGUGUUUACUGAUAAGACGGGCACACUAACAGAAAAUGAAAUGCAGUUCCGCGAGUGUUCAAUUAAUGGAACCAAGUACCGAGAAGUUAAUGGCAAACUUUUACCAGAGGGAAUGACAGACGACUCACCAGAUGGUUCUAUGCCUCCCCUGAUGGGUGACGAAUUGCUAUUUCUCAAGGCAGUGUCACUUUGUCACACAGUUCAGAUCAGCUACGACCAGUCAGACUGCCUGGCUGUGGGAGGAGACCCAUUCUCCCAUGCCAAUGGGUUCCCUUCCAGUCCCAUGGAGUACUACGCCUCUUCACCGGAUGAGAAAGCUUUAGUAGAGGCAACAAAAAGGAUUGGAGUGGCCUUCACUUGCUGCAAUGGAGAUACCAUGGAAAUCAAAACUUUUGGCAAGUUUGAAAAGUAUAAACUGCUCCAUGUACUCGAGUUUGAUCCUAACCGCAGGAGGAUGAGUGUCAUACUGCAAACUCCCUCAGGAGGCAAAGUGCUGUUCACCAAGGGGGCGGAGUCUGCCAUUUUGCCUUUCACGACUAGUGGUGAGAUCGAAAAGACAAGGCUGCACGUUGAUGAGUUUGCCUUGAAAGGUUUGCGAACCCUGGUCGUAGCAUGCCGCCACUUCAGUCCGGAGGAGUACAUCGAUGUGGACAAGAAACUAAACAGUGCCCGCACCGCGCUGCAGCAGAGGGAGGAGAGACUGCAGGAAGCCUUCAGCUACAUUGAAAAAGACUUGCAGCUCCUGGGAGCAACAGGAGUGGAGGACAAACUUCAGGACAAGGUCCAGGAGACCAUUGAGGCUUUGCGACUCGCAGGAAUCAAAGUAUGGGUGUUGACAGGGGACAAACAUGAGACGGCAGUCAGUGUAAGCCUGUCCUGUGGCCACUUCCACAGAACCAUGAACAUCCUGGAGCUCCUGCAGCAGCAGUCUGAUAACGAGUGUGCUGAGCAGCUCCGCACACUGUCCAGGAGGUUAAGGGACGACCAUGUCAUACAGCAUGGAUUGGUUGUAGAUGGAGCUAGUCUGUCUUUAGCAUUGAGGGAACACGAAAAGCUCUUUAUGGAAGUGUGUAAAAACUGUUCAGCUGUGCUAUGCUGUCGCAUGGCCCCACUGCAGAAAGCUAAGGUUGUGCGUCUUUUAAAGACAUCUCCAGAAAAACCCAUCACCUUAGCUAUUGGGGAUGGAGCCAAUGAUGUCAGUAUGAUACAGGAAGCCCAUGUGGGCAUAGGUAUCAUGGGGAAGGAGGGUCGUCAGGCCGUGAGAAACAGCGACUAUGCAAUUGCCAGGUUCAAGUUCCUGGCCAAACUCCUGCUGGUCCACGGGCACUUCUACUACAUUCGAAUAGCUACUCUUGUACAGUACUUUUUCUACAAGAAUGUGUGUUUUAUCACGCCGCAGUUUUUAUACCAGUUCUUCUGUUUGUUUUCACAACAAACUCUGUACGACAGUGUUUAUCUGACACUGUACAACAUCUGCUUCACCUCGCUGCCAAUCCUUGUGUACAGUUUGUUUGAACAGCUGGUCCAUCCGCAUGUAUUGCAGAACAAACCUGGCCUGUACAGGGAUAUUAGCAAGAACUCUCUGCUCUCUUUCCGGACCUUCUUGUACUGGACUGUGUUGGGUUUCUGUCACGCCUUUGUCUUCUUCUUUGGAUCCUACAUACUAAUGGGAGAGGACACCACACUUAUGGGCAAUGGACAGAUCUUGCGAGCUAACAGGCAGCUGAUGUUUGGGAACUGGACAUUUGGAACACUGGUCUUUACUGUCAUGGUCAUCACUGUCACGUUAAAGCUUGCAUUAGAGACUCAUUUUUGGACGUGGAUGAACCAUUUUGUGACAUGGGGCUCAAUUGCCUUCUAUUUCAUCUUCUCUCUCUUCUAUGGAGGCAUCAUCUGGCCAUUCCUGCACACCCAGGACAUGUACUUCGUCUUUGUGCAGCUGCUGUCCAGCGGGUCCGCCUGGUUCGCCAUUAUCAUCAUCGUCAUAACUUGCCUCUUUCCUGAUGUGUUGAAGAAGGUCUUGUACAGACACCUGCAGCCCACCAGCACUCAGAAGAGUCAGAUGGAAGAGGGUGAGGGUUCAGUCGGCCCAGAAUAUGACCCUGUUAAAGCCCAGCGGAGCCCAGGGGAGGACAAUUGGCACCUGCUAGCUGCUUAUCCUCCCCCUGCUGCCCCAGGCCCAGACUCAUGCUCCCUUAGUCUCUACCAGCCUCCCAGGUGCAGAACCUCAGCUGCAUGGAAUCCCUGUGCUGCUACCAACAGGGGCAGAGCGGCUGUACCCGCCUGGCCCGCCUCCUGGAGCAAAUGACUGGACGCUGCAAGGCCAGCGCCAACAAUUGCCACACAUCCAGCCGCAACAACAGGUCUUGGAGCGACACGGAGAACUUGUACUCCAACGAUCGCAGCAUCCUGACGCUGUCGCCCAUCGAGGCCACCCACUGCUGACUCCCGGGGCCGCUGACUGUAGCACAGGGGGCCGGGGGGAGAGCCACCGCUCCAUUAUGAGUCAUAAUCACACCCCCCGCAACCUCAGCCACCAUUUUCGAAACAAUUUCAUUUUAAACUCGGUUAAUUCCCAGCAGGAUGCAGCACUGCUACAAAUGGGAUAAGGAUCCAAAGAACUCGUUUGAGUCUAUGCUGAGAGGAAUGUCAGAUGGGAGCAAAAACUAUGAAGGAAAUGGAACAUGUGGUGCGAGCCAUCCGUGCAGCUACGUUUACGCUCGAAGAUCCGGUCUGUGUCUGAGCUGUAAAAUGCCUGGAUUCCUGCUGCUACUGCUAGCAGCGGAUCUGCAAGUCCAUCAAACUGGAAAACACCCUCCAUAAAAUCAGUUUUUAGUCACGUGAACUCCUCUGGAGCCCUUGCAUUGUCAAAACAGCGAUUUCUGACUGAGUACACUUUUUGCUGCGAGUGUCAAAGUGAGCAUCCAGAGGAUUUGUCAAGUCGACAGCAAGCCAGGAUCAUAUACGUAGCAAAACAUCCUGUUGCUUCCAUAAACUGCUACAAAAACUCUUCAUUCAGACCUCCCACCACAGCCCUGCAGCAUCCAGAACAUGAAGCCUCAUCUCUACCACGGUACCAAAGACCAAAAAGGAUUCCGACUGGAGUUUAAAAGGAAAAGUGUUUAUUUUUUGUGCCUGAUUGUACAGAAGCUUAUAUUGUUAAAGGAGACUUGUUGUUGUUCAUGCUGCUUUUGUCGUCUGUUCUGGCCUCUUUGUCCCCCCCCCCACCCCUCCCAGUGCACCACUGUGAAAGAGGCCCAAUGUUUUAAAAAGCCAUACGUUUUUGAAGAGGUCAGAUUACUGGAGGUACUGCAGAUGGACGCUUGUGGGAGCUUGUUGUUAAAUUUGUUCUCCUCGAAUGCCUUUUGUCACCCAGCCCGGCGACCAGAAGCAUCUCAGCAUUAAAGCCCACGAGGGUCUGGCAGAAUCAUCCAUGUCAGCUGCCUAAAAAUACGUCCGAUUUGACACCAUUAUUUUAUUUAUGCUUUUUCCGGUGAGGCUGUAACGGUGAGAUGCUUUUCCAAACCGUGGCUGAUGCACGUCGACCCAAGACAGCAGAAUGUGUUAAAGUUUAGAGGGGAAAGGAAAAGCAGAGCAUUUGCACAAAUCACAUAUCAAAAUUAUUUUGUUGGGUUUCUUUCUUUUUAUUUUAUUUUUUUUUUUCAUUGGGAAAAGUCAUUGUCACCGUUCACAUCUGAAACCAUUUGAAUCACAUUUUUUGCUGUUACAUUGUUAUUUUAUUACCACCCCCCCCCCCCAUGUGUGUUUGUCUCCACCUGCUGUUGGAGGUGUGUGUGUGUUUUGUUUUUUCUCUGUUGGUUGAAGGAGGUACGGUCCAUCAUAGCUGUUUGUAUGUAUUUGAAUGAUCUCAGCGGCCACCCGGCGCUACCACUUUUACUCAUAUCAGCGUAUGUGCAAGCAGGAUGUUGGUGUGAUAUUAAAUACUUAACAGGGCCAAAAAGGAUGUUUCACUAAGAUCACUAUCACACUGUUGCUCCACAUUUUACACAGUUGACGAGUUGACCUCAUAUCUGCUAAUAAAAUAUCUACCUUGAUGCACCGCUGGGCUCACAGUGGAUAAAGGAAACUAUAACUUAAUGCAGUUUUAUAGAAGUAUUCAAGAGAUUACAAAGUUUCUGUGAACACAGUUGUGUUAUUCCACCGUGUGUGCGUGUCGUGUUAAACUUGAUCUUGAUUUAACAGAAAGUCUUAGUCAUGAUCUCUGAGCGUGGAGCUGGAAAGACCAGGAUGUAACCAGCAGAGCAAGAUGCAAGCAAGUUGCAUUAUGGGAGCUGUAGGAACCACUUUAAGCCAGGAUAUCCAUGCCUCUGCAGUGUUUUACUGGGACUCCUUUGUCUGGCUGCUUUUUGAACUCAGUGUGGAUGUUUGAUCCACCAUCAUCCCUUUAAUACCUUUUUAAAAAGGGACUAAAAUACGCUGAUUUAUUUUAGUUUCCUUUUUUUUAAACUAGAAGAUGGCUUUAAAAACACUUGGAGGCUCGCACAGCGGCAUCUUUUCCCUGACCCUCCACGGCUUUCCAGCUCCACGACCCUCCUCCUGUAACACGCAUUCAGUUGAUCUCAUGUCAAAACAUUCCCUCUGUGUGAGAUCUUGUAAGAGCCAGUGCACAUCACAACUUGAAACAUUGUUUGCUACACACACUAGCACAUGACUGAUGUUUUAAAAUAGACAUGAAAAUGUCCUUUAAUGCUGGGGAAACAGCCCACAUCACAGCGAGCUGAGGUAGCCGCGUGGGUGACGUUGCGACAUUCGUUUUUGUUCAGGUUGAACCCGUACACUCGUGUGAAGCAAUAAUCAUCAUUGUCACGAUAUGAGUCUGCUAAAAGGUCAGGUGAUGUCAUCACUGACCCCCACCUCCCAACACCACAUCGACCCAGAUAGCAGAGUGACCACUGAGCUCUGUGUUUGGGGGCAUCAGCACUGCACACUGCAGAGUUUCUGCAUGAUAUUUUGGAGCAGAUGGCAGGAGGAGGGAAGGCAAGUGACACAAAGCCCAAAUCACCUGCAGUGUCAGUGCAGUUCUGAUGCCCCCUUGUGCUCAAUGUGGACACCAGUAGUGUCCAAAAUAAUGGUGUCACAUGUUGGAGGUGGUGGUUACGUGGCUCCAAAACAGCCUCCCUUUUCAAAGUAGCAGAGUUGAUUACAUAACUGUCUCUGUUAGACUGAAACAAAAGUAAUAACAGCUCGAAAUUUAUUCUCCACACUCCACCACAGCCGUGACGGCUGGAAAUAUUUUUAAUUAAUGUAAUCCACUACUAAGUGGCACCAAAGUGAUCUCUUCACGGCUGUUUUCUGUGCCCCAGGUUCCAAACAGCCGUGAAAAGAGCUUGUGUGAAAACACGGACCAGAUCCUAUAAAGCGCUGCAGCACUGACGUCAUCCGGAGGCCUUGUAUCUGAACUCAGAUACAAGGCCUGGAGGGGUUUUGUAGAAGCAGAUGAUUACUCAGUCACAUAACUCAGAGUGGUGACUUAAUAUUUCAUCACGCCUCAAGCCCCCGUGAUCUUCACGUCCAAAUGAGAACAAAUGCUGUCAGGAAUACUGGUUAUGUCCAUCCACUGAGGCAUGAGUGGAAAUUGGUACUAAAGAUCAAACCACUUGUUUAAGUAGAAAAGUAAGAUCAGAGCUGGAGGCUGAUGACUUCAGUGCCAAGGUGCUCUUUCAAAAUAAAAGUUUGCAGACUUGCAUGAAGUUACAAAACCCCUGAUCAUAAAUAGAGGGAGUUCAGAUUGAAAUGUCAUCUGCCAGUGUCGUGCAGCCUGUCACUCGGAGCCCAUCAGAAAGAUGCGGGGAUGCAUGUCAGCACUCAGUUUGACUUCAUGUUUGUUCCCUCCUCAUCAGUAAGUCGUGCUGCACCUGAGCAUUACUACAUAAUUUCUUCUGUUAUCUGAUGCUGUUUGUCUGUCCUCUCCUGUCUGUAAACCUGUCUUAUAGCUGAAGAUGCUGUUCUAUUUACGAAAUAAAAACAUUUUUA